rnacentral:rRNA from 1 species
AAAUGACUCUCGGCAACGGAUAUCCCGGCUCUCGCAUCGAUGAAGAACGUAGCGAAAUGCGAUACUUGGUGUGAAUUGCAGAAUCCCGUGAACCAUCGAGUCUUUGAACGCAAGUUGUGCCUGAAGCCACUAGGCCGAGGGCACGUCUGCCUGGGUGUCACGC